rnacentral:lncRNA from 1 species
UGCAGCUCAAUGAAAUCAUGUUGAAAACCUUUAUUCUUUUAAGACUUUAAAGAAAAAUAGGAACCUGAGCUAAUUUUAGCUAACUCUAAUAUGUGUGUGUAUGAAAAUGAAUGCUGCUUUUGAGAUUCAGUGCAUGCAGUACCUCUUUUCAUUUAAACAAAUGAUUCUUCUAUUUUCCUCUAAACAAUUUCAUUAAGAAGACUUUGAGUGGAGCCCUGUACAUAUUAACAAUUCUAGCAUUUCCUUUGAUCUUUUCCUCUGUUGAUUUAUUCAUCUCAUGUGAUAUGUGUAAAUCACAUUGUGCCAUCUACUUGACUCUGUAGCAAUUGUUCAUUUGUGGCAAUUCAUUUACUGUACAUUGAUAAAUCACAUUAAUGUGGGUGUGUUCUGUAACUUUAGAAGAUUUCCAAGAGACUUUCUGCAGACUCUUUUAUGUGAGACAGAUAUAUAUAGAGAUAGAUAGAGAUCUAUAUAUAUGUAUAUACCAAGCUACUAGACAGAGCUCUGAACAAAUUGGCUUCUCAUUUAUACUUUAUAGAAGAAACGUGGAAUUGCUGAGCUUUACUUCUGGGGAGAAAUCCUAAGACUUCAUGGCUCAAAGUGAAGGGCAAGGCUGAAAAUUAUCUGUUUCCAUUGGUGUGGCAGAGAAAAGAGAAGAGGAAGUACUUAAUGGUCACAGAACAGAAAGUGCUGGUGGACAUCUCUUCUUGCCCCAAGAUCUUCGUUGGAAGUCCUCCAGACUUGGUGUCUUAUUGAACUCGCCAGGAGGCAUAAUGUGUCACCAUUUUAUUGUGGGCCACCCUAAAGGAUGACACCCAGCUUCGGACACCUCCUGUUGGACAUCGUCCCCUGAGAGCCAAUGCUUUAACUCUCUCCCAUUGUCCGGAGUCUGUUUCCGACUGGUUUUGAGCUGGUGCGGGCUUAGUCAUUCAUGACCCGGACCCAGUUGAAUGUUGCUUGAUCACCUUUUGUCGCUUGCUGAACAGCACUUCCCUCUUGGGCUCUCGGGGAGUCUUUGCACCGACCCGCUAGAAACAAGGCACCUAUCCAUUCUUUCCAUCUUGGAGGUUGCCCACGGCCAUAUCCCGGGGUGACCUGGAGUAGAAGCAGUGGAGGAUAAAUUAAUUCAUCCUGCACAGACUUGUUUCAGCUAGUUCUAGCCUGUCUCUCGCCCCAGCUCCAGCUUUUAAAUAUGCCAGUGAUUGGUUUUGUGUAGGAAUGUGUGGAUUGUUGGAUUGGAAGAAUUCUCUCCCUGGAUUUCUAGUGUUUACAUAAGCAGAUAUUUAAAAAAUGUUCUAUCCCUGAUUUAAAUAGCAGGGGUUAUUUUUAAAAAGUUAUGGGCGCCUGAAGGGAUACAGAAUAAAAGCAUAAGUUUUGUUUUUUCUUUCUUACAAGUUGUAACGGAACCAAAAGGUGUAUGGUAAUGUUUUGUCAGGAAAAGGUCAAAACAGAAAGUUUGCAACAGAGACAAACUAGAAUAGAACAAGUGUGAAGAGAGGCUGACAAAUAUAUGCCCCUUGUUGGGAGUUCAGCCCGUGGAAUGUUAUGUAGGACACAAGGAAUGGAAGAGAUAUUUCAGUAACAUUUUGUUCUCUGUCAAAAACCUUCUGAAAUAUAAAUCUGCUGUGUAUUGGAGGAUGGAGACGGCAGUUGAUUCGAAUUGAAUGGCUUUCAUUUAACUAGAGUAUCCCACAGAAAGCAGUUCUUGUUCUGACAACUGUAUUUUUGCUUUCUUUGACCUAGCAAAAAUUGGAUUCCUGUUUACAUAUCUUGUAGGAUUGUUUUAUGGACAACGAUACAGGUCAAAUCCCAUCACAGUGGCCAGUGUUAUGGCAAAUAGAAAUAUUUCUAAAUGAAAUACAAACAUUUCUAAGCCACAGCCGGAGUAUGCAGUAAUAAUAAGUUGGUAAUAUGAAGCCAUUUGCAACUAUAAAUAAUUCAGUUGUAGAUGUGCUUUAAAAAAAACUGUCUUAUUUUAAUUCUAGUCUCUUGCCGACGCACACAAUCAUACACUUGUAGCUCACCUAUUUGCCUAGUAGAGGAGCAACAGGAAUAUAUAUAAUCGUAGAAGUCAACUUUAUUUUGAUCCCUGGAACAGGUUACUUUUUCUCUUCUCCUCACGAUGGUUUCUGUAAUUGCCUCCAACUGCCAAACUUUGGUGAUUACCCACAAAUAUGAAUGGCUCUUUCUAAGGGUCUUGCCCCGUCAUCCAACCGAGCCCAAAGCUAGUAGCCAGAGUUAGUGCUGUAAGGAGCUGAGCUUCAAAAUUAAGGGUCCUUUGCAAGGGGUGGUCUGAUUUGAUUAUCCAUUGUGCACCCCCCCAGGAGAAAGGAGGUGCUUAUUCUUUCGGUUUUAAAUCCCUGGAUCAAAGCAAGACAUGCUCGUGCAAGAGUUCAAGGCAGCUGGGGAAUUUAGUGUCUAAAAAAGGAGGGGGUGGAGAUAAAGUGUGAUGCUCCCCAGGUUCAGUCCUCAGUACUGCAAACAAGCAAACAGACAAACAGACCAUUCAUUCUGGCAUUGAUCCUGGCCUCAGAGUCCAGAAUCAGUGAGUUCAGUCUUAAUUUUUAGCAUUAACUAUUUUUUGAAUUAGUGAACCUUGCUUUAUUGUUAUGCCUAUGAGAGGACAACUUUCUUUUUAUUUUUAUUAACUCAUGUUAAUUGUACACAUUCACUUGGGCAUUUCCAUGUUAAUUGUACACAUUCACUUGGGUUCCACUUGGGUAUUUCUAUCCAUGCAUAUAUCUUGCCUUGAUCAUUCCCACUUUUAAACACAGUAAGUCAGACACAGGAAGACAGGUGUCGGGUGUUUUCUUUCAUAUAUGGAGACUGGGAAAAAGAGAUCUGAAAGUAGAGAGGGAUCUAUUAGGGAAUAGGAAGCGUUAACUAUUACUCCUGAACUACUCUCUAUAGUUUUUGAUUCAGUACACUCUGAGGUUCCCCCAGAUCCCUUAUGGACUAAAAUACAGAAUAUCCAUUUUUUUAAUGGGAGGGUCUAACUAUGUUCCCCUGGCUAGUCUCAAACUCCUGGGCUCAAGUGAUCCUCCUGUUUCAGCCUUGCAAGCAAGUGGGAGUACAGGGGCAUGACGCCAUGCCUGGCUAUAAAUACAGCUAUUGUAACACAGCAGAAUUGAUGAUCAAGAGAGAGCUCUAGAAAUAAAGGCCCCCUAGGUUUUAACCUUCUAUCUUCAAAGUUCUUGUCUGCAUGCCUUAUAUUUUAUUUCCUCUCUGUUUAUACUAAUUUAUACUUGUGUUUAUUGUUUUCUUACUUAAAAACUACUUGAAAAAAAUUCAUAGCCCUUACAAAUUUGAAAGCAUCUCAACCUAUUCAUCCUUCUUACCUUGGCCAUCUUUUGUCAUCGCUAGGCCACUUCUUCCCUUCCUACUUCUCUUCUGGGAUUUCACUGCUUAGCAGUUCCAGUGUAUGAUUCUGGAUAUGAUGGUUUGAGCUUCCUGACCAACGUCUCUUUGCAGCUGAGUCUAUUCCCUGUGCUCAAAGCUGUUGGCAUAUUCCAUUCACAGCUCCUACUCAAAUUGAAACUUGUUGCACUCAGAUCAGGCCUUAGCACUAUUAAUUUCUUCCUCUCUAUUUCUCGAUCCAUUGUUAUUUCCCAGUGACUAAAAUCUGCUUGUCACUAAGAACUUCAUUUUGAUGUCACUUACUAAAGACCUCUUGGAUUUUUCUACUCUCCUGAUACGCUUCACAGCUUCACGCUACAACGACCAUCAACAGGUCUUUGACAAAUUAGUUGUCCCUACAUGUGAUUUACAAUAUUACACUGGCUGUUUAAAAAUUAUUAAACUUCUCUCUGUGUACUUUGCUGUGGGUCAAGAACUUUACUUGUUUUGCCAUCCAACACAGAAGUUAAUCACAAACGGGUCCUCUAAACCAGAUAAUUAAAAAUAGAGCAAAGUUUCUGAACUAGGCAUUUGGCACAAAAGUUCUCACUUCCAUCUGUGCGUGGUUAGGAAAAUAUUUCAUGAUAUUUAAAUAGCAUUAGCUUUGCUCUCUUGUGUGAGAGUGUCUGUGAGUCUGUGUGUAAUUCAUUGCUCUGGAGGUUUAUUUGACUGUUAGCUAAUCUUAUGUUUUUUUAAAGUCACUGGCAAGGAAACAGGAAAGCAAAUCCAGGUGUUUUGUGCCUGCUUUCUUUAUUUGCUAGCUUCUGUGAAGGAACAGUGGUCCGCUCUGGCUUUUCUCUUUAACUCAUAGUUUUCCUCCUACAUGUGGUUCAGAAAAUGAAAGAGCAUACAUUUUGAUUUAUAAAUCUUUGUGUGUUUUAAUUCUCCACAUACAAGUCACCUUUGCUAAAGGCUUUUUAGGAGCUAUUCUGAUAGACGCAAAAUGCUGAUGAAUCUGUUUCAAUUUGGAAUGUGUCAGAUUAGGAUUUUUUUGCUCUCUGGAAAGGGGAUUGAUGCCUAGAAUGUACAGCAGACUCAUAAACACUUUGUGACUUAAACACAGACAUGUGAGUGACUGGAUUGAAGAGGAAUUUAAUCCUUCAACUUCGACUGUGCUUUGUUCUCAUAAGUAAUCAGUAUCUCCUAAAAUAUAUUCACCAGUUCUGUAGCUGUGAUUAGAUUUUAAAAGUGCACUGUCUGUUUAUAAGGUUUAAAUUGCUAAAUAAUACAAAGGUUAUACCUUUCUGGUAUUUUUCUGUUGCAAUCAUCCCUUUAUUCCUGGAAAACUCUUAUUUUAAGGUUGGUUUCUUUUUUCCAGGAGAGUUGUUGUAUUAAAUAACACUAAUGCCCCGUAAAUAUACUAAAGAUUAGGAAUUAUUUUUAAAAAUGUCUUUCAUACCUCCAGCUCUGAAGUGUAUAUAUGUAUGUAUUUCUCAGAGUUGUUAGUUUGCUUAUGUUUCUAGAAACUAGAGAGUAGGCAUAUUCCUAAUACUAUAAUAAUAAAAUUAAACACUGAAGUCAAAAGCAGAGGAUUGAUCAUGCUCAUAUUAAUUGAAAUUAAGAAAGGAGAAGUAGCUUCAAUCAUUUUCAUUAGCAGUGGUGGGUUCUUGUGUUUAGCUCUCCAUGCUGGUUUGAUUAUUUAGGCAGUUUGUCAUUCAUGAAAUUUAAAAUCAGAAGGAACCUUAAACAUUUUUUUGUCCAACUUCCUCAUUUUACAUUCCAGUUAAUUCUGUUCAUUUCUGUGUGCAAAGCAGUGGGCUAGGAGGGAGCAAUAAAGUUGACUUAAGUUGUGACUCAUGGCUUCCGACAAAUUAAUCUUUGAUUUUCUUUUCUGUAUUAUUCAAGGGACAACUUUUAACAAGGCAUAAGUGAAUUUUGCCAAUUGUUAUUCUUGGUCAGUGUAAGAAAUUAGGGAUGAAUGUAUUUUGUGAGCUCUGGUGAAUGAAAGAUGUCUUUAUACUUCAGGGUCCUGCUGAACUGUAGACCGUCCCAAGACAGAAUUCUGGUCUUCUCUUCUACAAGACAACCAGCACUGCUAAUAUUAAAGAGACUCCCCCCAAAUGUGCCCGAUAUUCAUGUUCUUCACACUUUUGCUGUGGAACCCUUACAGUGUUUCUUCCGUUUAUUUGGGCACCUCUGAUACUGACAUCUGGUAUUUCACUUACAAGAGCCGAAUUUCAUGAUUGAUAUUCUUAUCCCAUAAAUCAUUGUUAGUAAAUAUUAUUUACUAGACUUGUGAUCGAAAACACAACAUAUAGUGUACACACUCAAGAAUGGUCACAGUGCAGAGAAGCUGCUGGUCUUUUAAUAAGAAUGACGCCCCCAGCUGACAUGCUGGGGACUGAGGAUGUGUCAGCCACUAGGUGUGAUCACCUAAUCCUCACCGCUAACCAGAUAGUUCCUUAUUAUCUCUAGCUAAAAGAUAAGUAACUGGGUUAGUAGUUUGCUCAAGGUCACAGAGCUGGUAAAUGGUAAGAUGGGGAUUUAACACCUGCCAUUUUAACCCCAGCCCCUCCGCUCAGAAGGAAUAUAAAAUUUAUUACUUACCACCUGGUGCCAUGGUGAGACUUGCAAAAUUAUUUUCAAAAACUUUUUUUUUUUUUGGUACUGGGGAUCGAACUCAGGUCCUUGCACUUGUGCAGCAGCCGUUGAAACCACUGAGCUAAAUUCCCAGCCCUACAAAUUUUUAAUAAGUGAAGAGGUAUUCAUUUUUUGGUUGCAAAUUGAACUCUUGCAUAAGUUUUUCUAAGGACUAUGAUUUGGUAGGAGGAGGUUCCAAUUUAGUCCAGUCUUAGCUGUUUGAGACUUAGAACUAUGUUAUGUUUAAAUUACUUCCAUGUUCUUACAAAAAUAUAAUUAAUUUAUAAAGAUGAAGAAGAACUACAUCUAGCUAAAUGUAAAAGUGUUUAUAAACUGGAUGCAGUAGUGCAUGCCUCUAAUCCCGGCACUCUGGGAGGCUGAGAUAGAAGAAUCUCAAGCUCCAGCCCAGUCUGAGCAUUUAGUGAGACCCUGUCUUAAAACUUAAAAAAAGGAGGGUAGGGGCGGGAUGUGGUUCAGUGUGAAGGUACCAAGUUUAAUCCAUAGUACUGCAAAAAACCAAAACAAAACAAAGCCUUAUAAAGUCUUUUGUGUGUAAAUUUUUUUUUUGUAUUAAAUUCUUUUAUUGGUACAUUGUAGGUAUACAACACAAUUACAUUUCUCAUUGGGAAUUGUACCUUUAUAUAAUGCAUCUUGGUUCUUAUUUUUUCCCCAUUCCUAGCCCUCCCUUCACGCCCUCCACCCUUCCCUAUUUACAAUUUUGUGUGUAAAUUUAUAUAGUCAUUUCCAUAAUCACGUUUACAUAUGUAUGUUAUAGUUACAUGUAUUUGUAUGUGUAAAUAUAGUAUGCACCCUUUAUAGAACUGAUGUUGAGGAACUCUAAGGAACCAGCUAUAUGAUUUGGAGUUUUAUCAAAUGGAGUGAAAUUUUCAAUGAUUAUGAUUUGGUCUGUAAAAAUAGGAAUAAUGAGAUCAAAGUGUAUAUGUCUACUUUUAUCUUCUAUCUCUUGUCUUUUUUGCUUAGAAACAAAUUUAUGUCGAAACAGUGUACCUAUGAACCUUCAUAUAUGAAAAAAAGAGCUACACAAGACACUUUGUUGCAGUUUGUCCAGGGUCUCAAAACAUGCUGUAAAAACUUGGAAACUGGAAGCAUCUUGGCAAAUGUAGCAUCAGCGUGUCACUGAUUUCGAAGCUUCUGUUGAGUAUUCUAAGUAGGUUCUGUGACAGCUCUUACUAGAGGAAUUGGUACCAGCUAAGAAAAUGUACAGUUUAAUACUUUAGAGCAAAUAAUUGCUUAGGAUGCCUUAAAUAGCACAGGAAAUGUGUAGAGUGUUUACUUGACAUUUGCUCUAUCGAACACUAAUACUGAAACAGAUUCUUCGACCACAGAGAACGCUGGUGUAGGUGGGGUGGGGGUGGACGGGAGAAAGAGGCAGAGAAAAAACAGCCAACACGAAGAGAUAAAAAGUAAAUGGCAAAUUAGUUUUUGUUUUUUUUCACUAUAUGGAGAUACCAGGAAAAUAAAAGCCCACUUGUUUGAUCCAGUGGCUUUGGAGUGUGGUAGAAAAAAGCAAAGGACAUAGAACUCUCUAGGAUUAGGUUUCUCCCUUGAAAGGUUGUCUUCACCUGGCCUUCAAAAGCCCUGUAGCCCCUGGGUGACCUGGUUUGUUUUUUAAAUCUUGAAAGCAAGAGGAAUGACCUCCCUUAAAAAAAAAAAAAAGAAGAAGGAGAAGGAGAAGGAGAGGAAAUUCCUCUUGUUAUCUGUUUAAUCUGCACAUGCUUGUGCACUUUUUUUUUAAAUGACAGCUCUGGCGCCCUCAUUUCUCAGUGUGGCUCAGUAUUUCUUGAGUUUUUCCCCCAAAUGCUUCUUGCUCUUUAGUGUUCUCGUCUCACUUCGCUGGCACUGUUCAAGUGGGACUUAUCUUACAAUGGGGUCUGGGUCAGUUUAGUGUAGCUCAGAAGUGCAGAGCAUUUUUUUUUUUUUUUUGCACAAACUGGUUACAAAGCACUGUGACUCGGUUGCAUUUAAUAAGAAAAAGUAGGGGAUAGUUUAGGAAACUGAGCCCUUUUCCAUUCAUAGGUUUGCCUCAACUCUGCAGCGUCUUUAAGGGAAUUUUAAAUGCAUCUGGUAAAAGCCAAUAGGCAAGCACACAGGAUGGGCUCAGGAAUGUGGAAUUGUGCAAUGUUAAUGAAAUCUGUUAGAAGCAUCCUCUUUUCUGUCUCCUCAACAGGAGCUGGUUUUAAAUACUCAAGGGAAUUUUGUAAACGAUGAUCCAAAGUCAGAACUUCCCCCUGCAGGUUAGCCCAGCGUCUACAACGCUCAGCAGAGGAAACGCUGUAUUUAUGGCUUUUCCCUGGAGUUGUGAUUUGACCUUGAAUAAAUCGUGUUCAACUUCUCGAUGCUUCAGUUAGCCUUUGAAAGAUAUGUGUGGUUGUGGAUGGCCUGUGGGAAGGCAGUAACUGAAGUUCACAACAGAAGGGGGACUUCAAGGAAAAUUUUAUUUGGAAAGAGCUGUGGGUAUGAAAGGAACCCUUAUGCAGGGGGCUAUUGGUGAACAAUCUUGCCAUGUGUGGCUCCUAAGUAAGGCAGGGGGUUUUCUUUUAACAAUCUUACUAUAUUUUAUAGAAUUAAAAUUUACAUAUAGAUUGUUUUAUAUUAUGUUAUGUUUACUAUAUAUUUUUAUUGGUUUAUCCUUUAACUCCAGAAAGAUUUGUGUUCAUACAUCUUCUACCUGUAAUGGGAUUUUUAUUUAUAAUGUUACAGUUUAAAUUGUAAUCAAGCAGUAACACAUUUUGUUUAAUAUGCAAAGACCUUUAAUUUUAUUUUGCAGAAGAAAGUCUAAGCCAGUUGUUUAAAAAGUUGCCUUGGAGAAGAUCUAAGUGGUUUUUCAUUCAUUUGGAGAGAGAGGGAGGAAAGUCAUCAGUAUUUAUUGAGCACCUACCCCGUGCCAGAUACAUUGCUACUAUGUGCCAUGUGUAUAUCCUGUGUGAUUUAUAUUCAUAGUGUCUUCCUUUUUAAGUGUAUCAGGGCUCAGUUAGGAGGGCCAGAAUCCAUAGGAAAAAAUGAAAUAUACCUAUUGUUAUGGAUAAUUAAAAAGAGGACUUUUUAGUUAGUAGCACUCAAAGCUCCAUAUCAUAAUGUAGGGCUGUGAGUUCCCCAUAAACCAAUUGCGGGUAGGUCCUCCAGCUCUGAGACCUCCCAGUGGUUGAGCGGGAUUGCAACACAGGGCUAAACCACAUCUCCCUGGUUAAGUCAUUUCAGUUAUUGCCUCAUUUAAGUUGCAUUGUUUUAAAAAGGAUGUAGGCACUCCAAGUUGCAGUGCCUCAAAUUUGAGCAAAAGAAUACAGACUUUGAAUGUAUUCCGAGCUUGGCUCUGGAGUCCUGGCUGCAGUAAAUACAAAAGCCAACAGCUCCAAGUUUAGAUGAGAAAACAUUUCAAAGAAAGCCAGAGAAGGCUUAUAUAUUUAACACAAUAUCCAUGACUCACUUUCUCUUUGCUCUGUCUGUCCAGCCGUUAUUCAUUCACUGCUAACCCCACAGGAAGGCUCCUUUUGAAGUUCCCUUUGGCUGCUUUGCAAGCCAUAUAAAUAUACACCUUAGGAGAAUAAGGGUGAGGGAAAAGAGACAGAGGUCACCAUUUUUAAUCCUGGUGCUGCCGAUAACAAACUAUGUGACCAGAUACUUAGACAGCAAGGGAGGAUGUUUUUAAAAUUCGUUCUCAGCUGCCAGGAGGCAGUUAUCAUUCUGUAAAAGGGCUUGUUUUGGGGUUUCUCAGAAGUCUGUAGAGUUUGGGUUGUGGAGGUUCCUGCAGGACUUUCUUGGUGGAUCAGCCUUAACAGGUGCGUAGAAGUAGCUCUGGGGGUGCAACAACACCUUCACAACCCUUAGCAGUUAUGCAUGUUGAAAUGUCACACUGUACUCCACCAAUAUGUGCAAUUACUGUGAGUCAGUUAAAAAUAAAACUAUAUUUUACGAAAGGACCCUUAGAGGUUAGGGCUAGACUGUCAGAAGAACUGAAAGGAAUAAAGUUUGUGUAAUGGGGAAGCAGAUACCAAGCUAUUCAGAAGCUACCACCCACACUUAGAAGGUUGUGUCUGGGUGAUGGGGUGUAGCUGAGUGUUCUGGAAGUGUGGGUCACACUUGUGGUUUGAAUGCCAGCCCCCGCACUGACCUUCUUGGCCAGCUCUUUGUGCCACAGUCUCUUCCUCUGCAGAUUGAGAAGAUCAUCAACACGCAGGCAAAAUGAGUCAGUGUAUGUACCAGUCCUAGAAGAGCACUGGGCAGCUAGAAAGUGCUAUCGACGCUACUACUGUCAUCACGUCUCUCUUCUUGGGUGUUUUCUAAUUUGUGUUGCAUUUAGGGUGGGUUACCAGGGUGAUGGUGGGGGUUGGGAUGGUGAGAGGGAGAUCUAGGGCUGUAGAGAGUGUGGCAGAGCCUGGUUCCAAGUGCUGUUUAUUUCUGAUCACCCGGCUCUGCUCACACAGCGCCAGAUCCCUCCCUUCACCUGUCCAUAUCCUACCUCACUGUCCAUAGGCAGCAUGAGCCUCUUUGUCUCUAGGGUACAAAGGUUUCCCCAGCUCCUGCAGCCCAGGUGAACCUCCCUCCCCACUGCCCUCAGCUCCCAGGUAUCUGUCUGCACAGCUCCUUUGACCAUAUCAUGCAGUGAUCCAUCUUGUCGCUGAGAUGUCUUGAUUCCCGGGCCCUCUCCUUGUGACUGGAGACCUUCACCUCCUCUCAACAUCCAGGGUGGUGUGGCAGGGAAGGGACCUGCCACCUUCUCCAGCUCUCUCUCUGUCCUGAGCCCAGCAUGCUCGAGAUUUUUGAUGUCUGGAAGCUCAGAACCUUCUCAUGCAAGAUGAGGGUCUAGACAAAAUGAUCUCUGCAUCUGUUCUUGUAGAUUUCUGGUGUUGGAGUACUAGGUGGUGGCGAAAUCCAUGUCAGAUGGAUGAAUGAAUGAAGUACAAUCCCAAGGUGCUCAGUUAAAUUACACUUGUGCUCACUAGCUUAUCUGCUUGGUGAAGGGAGGAAAUGGUCUCAGUGACGAAUUUUUCACUUUUAGUGCACAGAAAUCUUGUUUGUUUUGACACUUUUGGAGUGUGAAUUCUUGUCCACAUUGAGUUCAUAUUUAUAUUAGUAAGUUGUCUAUAAAGAAAUUAUUUUUGUGCUAAAGAUAAUAUAAAUAAUGACACAGCUAGUAAAUGUGUUUUUAAGCACAUUAGAAGUCUUUGCAUGCAGUUUAUUGUGUAUAUUAUAGUACAAAAUUAUGUAAAAUACAAUUAUAUAAGCUCUUUUUGUUCAUGAAAUAAUUUGAUCAUUUAAAAAUUCUUCUAUGAGUACUUAAGAGAUUUAAAACUAUCUCCUCUUAAAACUUUGUAACUUGUAGCUGUCUUCCUAUUUGUAUCAGGUGCCUUCUCUGAACCCUAUUUACUCAGUAUAUACUAUUAUUUCUUGUAUGUUCAAAUAAUUGGAAGAGAUGCCGGUUGAAGUCUUCAACAUCAAAUCCCAAUUUGGAAUUAUUUGUGUUUUAUUUAUUCUUUUUUUUCCCUAAUAACAGUAUCUGACCCCUAAAUAAUGCUCUUUUAUCAUAUAUAUAUAUAUAUAUAUUUUUUUUUUUUUGGUACCAGGGAU